rnacentral:rRNA from 1 species
AAAUUCAUUCGCGUUUCGACGAGCGACGUCGGACGUUCGCGCGACGGAGGAGCGCUCGCCUCGUGCGUUGCGCCCGUCUCCGCGGCUUACGUUCGUCGAGGGGUCGCCGUCGAACGCGUGCACUUUUCCCCCUGUAGGACGUCGCGAUCCGUCGGGCGUCGGUCCAAGGGCCGCGGCGGAGAUCGCGCGGACGCUUCGCGGCGUUAUCCGCGCGAACCCGCGGUUUUCCCGGCCGACACGACCCGACGGUAUGCAAGAUGGCGCGGGGCCGCCG